GUGAAUCAUCGAAUCUUUGAACGCAAAUUGCACUCUCCGGUUUUCUGGGAGAGAAUGCUUGUUUGAGGGUCUGUUUAACAAAUAAUCCAAGUUGCUGCUGUAUUUUUCGCUGUGGCGCUUCGGCAAUGGGUCAUCUUUUUUUACCUUUCGGUUGUAAGCGGCUUAAAAUUUUUUUACGAUUUCUACGAACGUGUUUAAGAAUUUCUUAUACGUUCAUUAUAUCAUAAUCAUAUUAGAAGUGACAGCCGUGUCGGGUUCACUUAUAUAAUAUAAUAUUCA
rnacentral:misc_RNA from 1 species